rnacentral:lncRNA from 1 species
CCGCAGCAAGCUUCCGACCUCCCUCUCCCAAAUCUUGUGUUUUUCCUUCAAUCCCCACCAUUUUCUUUGAGUUUAAAGGUUCCACAAAGGUUUUUGAGUGUUUUUAAGCAAGUUUGGAGCUUGGAAGUCUUGGAGCUAAAUCCCUCCAUUUUCCGAGCUAGGGUCGUUCUUCCUCUCGAUCUUCAAGAGGUAAGCUUCGAUCUAUGCUUCUUUUAUGUUUUAUGAAAGUUUUAUACAAGUUGAUGGGGUAGAAUGCAUG